UACGUAGGCAGCAAGCGUUGUUCGGAAUUACUGGGCGUAAAGAGUGUGUAGGCGGUUCUCCAAGUUCGGUGUGAAAUCUCCCGGCUUAACCGGGAGGGUGCGCCGGAAACUAGAGGGCUGGAGUGCCGGAGAGGAUAGCGGAAUUCCUGGUGUAGCGGUGAAAUGCGUAGAUAUCAGGAGGAACACCGGUGGUGUAGACGGCUAUCUGGACGGUAACUGACGCUGAGACACGAAAGCGUGGGUAGCAAACAGG
rnacentral:rRNA from 2 species